GUGUCAGCCGCCGCGGUAAGACGAACCGUGCGAACGUUGUUCGGAUUCACUGGGCUUAAAGGGCGCGUAGGCGGUCGAUCAAGUCCGGGGUGAAAUCGUUCGGCUUAACCGGACAAGUGCCUUGGAUACUGGUCGGCUGGAGGGAGGUAGGGGCAGCUGGAACUUCUGGUGGAGCGGUGAAAUGCGUUGAUAUCAGAAGGAACGCCGGUGGCGAAAGCGAGCUGCUGGACCUCUUCUGACGCUGAGGCGCGAAAGCUAGGGGAGCAAACGGGAUUAGAUACCCGCGUAGUCC
rnacentral:rRNA from 1 species